AACUUUUGGCAACGGAUCUCUUGGCUCUCGCAUCGAUGAAGAACGCAGCGAAAUGCGAUACGUAAUGUGAAUUGCACAAUUCAGUGAAUCAUCGAAUCUUUGAACGCACCUUGCGCCCCUUGGUAUUCCGAGGGGCACACCCGUUUGAGUGUCGUGAAAAUCUCAACCUUCUCGGUUCCUUCUGGACACCGAAGGAGGCUUGGACUUUGGAGGCCUUUGCUGGCGUCUCUCGCCAGCUCCUCUCAAAUGAAUUAGCGGGGUCCUCUUUGCCGAUCCUCGACAUGUGAUAAGAUGUUUCCAUGUCUUGGUUUGUGGCUCUGUUGCUUUUGGGACCCGCUUCUAACCGUCUUGGAGAGACAACGUUUGA
rnacentral:misc_RNA from 1 species